CAAGUCUUCUUCUGUCGGGGUAGGCUCUUCGAGUUUCUCGAGAUAGAUUCGUUUGGAAUUUGUUCAUAUCGAACACCUGAAAGUUAGAACAGUAAAUGUAAGAUUGUUUGCUGAUGCUUCGUUCUCUGGAAUUAUAUUUCAGGAGUCACACCUGCUUGUUUGGAAAGUGUUGACUUAGAGGGACAUAAGUAAAAUCCAAAAAAAUAGUGCAUAAGCAGAAGCGGAGCUGUAAAACACUUACUUUCCCUGGCUUCUCGUGUUCCAACGCUCCUUGAGAAUUCCGUGCGAUUUCCGCUCCAAUUGCGUUGUCUUCCUGACUCGUUGGCUUUAUCCUCCUCCGUCUUCACGUCCCUCAUCGGAUUCUCGAAGCCGCACAGACCUAUCCUGAAUUUUGCGAGGCGGCAACGAUUAAACAACGAAGAACAUGGUUUCGCCUAUUGGAUUCUGGGUGUAAUAAAUGAAACUAAACUGAAAACUCAGGCCUACGAGGAAGAGAAAUCUAGCGUCCACUUAAAGAAAGAAAAUUCUGCCUGUGCUCUGAUUAUUAUCCUAGCCUUCGAUGACAAACAGUCAAGGGUCUUCAGACCUGGUGGUGCCAGUCCGAUACUCUAACAGACUCUAACUUACAGAAAAAAGGGCAGUGUCUCUCAACACUAGAUUCAUCUUUGUUGUCAAAUUAUAUGUAUAUAAUUCAACAUCGCCUAAUAGAAGUUUCAGAGGUGAAAAUCAUUU